rnacentral:rRNA from 1 species
UACGGGGGGUGCGAGCGUUGUCCGGAAUCACUGGGCGUAAAGGGCGCGUAGGUGGCGUGAUAAGGGUGUGGUGAAAGCCCGGGGCUCAACCCCGGGUCUGCCAUGCCGACUGUCAGGCUUGAGUACUGUAGGGGCAGGCGGAAUUCCGGGUGUAGCGGUGGAAUGCGUAGAGAUCCGGAGGAAGACCGGUGGCGAAGGCGGCCUGCUGGGCAGUUACUGACGCUGAGGAGCGAAAGCGUGGGGAGCGAACAGG